rnacentral:rRNA from 1 species
CCUACGGGAGGCAGCAGUGGGGAAUAUUGGGCAAUGGGCGCAAGCCUGACCCAGCCAAGCCGCGUGAAGGAAGAAGGCUUUCGGGUUGUAAACUUCUUUUAAGAGGGAAGAGAAGAAGACGGUACCUCUGGUAUAAGACACGGCUAACUACGGGCCAGCAGCCGCGGUAAUACGGAGGUGGCAGGCGUUGUCCGGAUUUACUGGGUGUAAAGGGCGUGUAGCCGGGCUGACAAGUCAGAUGUGAAAUCCUGUGGCUCAACCAAGGAACUGCAGUUGAACCUGUCGGUCUUGAGUAUCGGAGAGGCAGGCGGAAUUCCUAGUGUAGCGGUGAAAUGCGUAGAUAUUAGGAGGAACACCAGUGGCGAAGGCGGCCUGCUGGACGAAGACUGACGGUGAGGCGCGAAAGCGUGGGGAGCAAACAGGAUUAGAUACCCUAGUAGUC